rnacentral:rRNA from 1 species
AUUGAACGCUGGCGGCAGGCCUAACACAUGCAAGUCGAGCGGAUGAAGGGAGCUUGCUCCUGGAUUCAGCGGCGGACGGGUGAGUAAUGCCUAGGAAUCUGCCUGGUAGUGGGGGAUAACGUCCGGAAACGGGCGCUAAUACCGCAUACGUCCUGAGGGAGAAAGUGGGGGAUCUUCGGACCUCACGCUAUCAGAUGAGCCUAGGUCGGAUUAGCUAGUUGGUGGGGUAAAGGCCUACCAAGGCGACGAUCCGUAACUGGUCUGAGAGGAUGAUCAGUCAAAGGGAAACGGAGACACGGCCAGGACUCCGCGGGGGGCCAGCGUGGGGAAUUUUGGAAAAAGGGGCGAAAGCUGGAACCGCCCAGGCGGGGUGUGGGAAGAGGUUCUGGGGUUUUAAAACCUUUUUAAGUGGGGGGAAAGGGAAGUAAUUUAAUCCCUUCUUGUUUUGACUUUACCAAAAAAAAAAGCCCCGGCAACCUUCGUG